UACGAAGGGGGGCUAGCGUUGCUCGGAAUCACUGGGCGUAAAGGGUGCGUAGGCGGGUCUUUUAAGUCAGGGGUGAAAUCCUGGAGCUCAACUCCAGAACUGCCUUUGAUACUGAAGAUCUUGAGUUCGGGAGAGGUGAGUGGAACUGCGAGUGUAGAGGUGAAAUUCGUAGAUAUUCGCAAGAACACCAGUGGCGAAGGCGGCUCACUGGCCCGAUACUGACGCUGAUGCACGAAAGCGUGGGGGAGCAAACAGG
rnacentral:rRNA from 1 species